GAGGGUUUUACUGUCUCUUACUUCCAAUCAGUGAAAUUGACCUUCCCGUGAAGAGGCGGGAAUGCACAAAUAAGACGAGAAGACCCUAUGGAGCUUUAACUAACCAACCCAAAGAGAAUAAAUUUAACCAUUAAGGAGUAACAACAAUCUCCAUGAGUUGGUAGUUUCGGUUGGGGUGACCUCGGAGAAUAAAAAAUCCUCCGAGCGAUUUUAAAGACUAGACCCACAAGUCAAAUCACUCUAUCGCUCAUUGAUCCAAAAAUUGAUCAACGGAACAAGUUACCCUAGGGAUAACAGCGCAAUCCUAUUCAAGAGUCCAUAUCGACAAUAGGGUUUACGACCUCGAUGUUGGAUCAGGACAUCCUGAUGGUGCAACCGCUAUCAAAGGUUCGUUUGUUC
rnacentral:rRNA from 1 species